UACGUAGGUGGCAAGCGUUGUCCGGAUUUAUUGGGCGUAAAGGGCGCGCAGGUGGUGGGUUAAGUCUGCCGUGAAAUCUCCCGGCUCAACUGGGAGGCUGCGGUGGAGACUGGCGCACUUGAGGUACCUAGAGGUCGGUGGAAUUCCCGGUGUAGUGGUGAAAUGCGCAGGAUAUCAAGGAGGAACACCCGUAGCGAAGGCGGCACUCUGGGCCGAUACUGACACUGAGGUGCGAAAGCGUGGGGAGCAAACAGGAUU
rnacentral:rRNA from 1 species